rnacentral:rRNA from 1 species
AUGAUUCUUAGGCAAAUCCGGGAAUCUCUAUGCCGAGCACCGAGACGAGUCUUAUGAGGACGAAGUGACUGACACCACGCUUCCAGGAAAAGCCACUAAGCUUCAGCUGUAGAAAAACCGUACCGCAAACCGACACUGGUAGGCAGGGUGAGAAUCCCAAGGCGCUUGAGAGAACUCGGGUGAAGGAGCUAGGCAAAAUGGCACCGUAACUUCGGGAGAAGGUGCGCCUCUUGGUGUGGUCACGUGCGUGACUGAGCAUCGAGGGGUCGCAGUAACCUGGCCGCUGCGACUGUUUAUCAAAAACACAGCACUCUGCAAACACGAAAGUGGACGUAUAGGGUGUGACGCCUGCCCGGUGCUGGAAGGUUAAUUGAUGGGGUCAGCCGCAAGGCGAAGCUCUUGAUCGAAGCCCCAGUAAACGGCGGCCGUAACAAUAACGGUCCUAAGGUAGCGAAAUUCCUUGUCGGGUAAUUUCCGACCUGCACGAAUGGCGUAACGACAGCGGCGCUGUCUCCACCCGAGACUCAGUGAAAUUGAAAUCGCUAUGAAGAUGCAGCGUUCCCGCGGCAAGACGGAAAGACCCCGUGAACCUUUACUAUAGCUUUACACUGAACGUUGAGUUCUUCUGUGUAGGAUAGGUGGGAGGCUAUGAAACCAGGACGCUAGUUCUGGUGGAGCCAUCCUUGAAAUACCACCCUGAAGUGCUUGACGUUCUAACCUAGGUCCGUAAUCCGGAUCGGGGACCGUGUAUGGUGGGUAGUUUGACUGGGGCGGUCUCCUCCCAAAGAGUAACGGAGGAGCACGAAGGUACGCUCAGCGCGGUCGGACAUCGCGCACUGUGUGCAAAGGCAUAAGCGUGCUUGACUGCGAGAUCGACGGAUCAAGCAGGUACGAAAGUAGGUCUUAGUGAUCCGGUGGUUCUGUAUGGAAGGGCCAUCGCUCAACGGAUAAAAGGUACUCCGGGGAUAACAGGCUGAUACCGCCCAAGAGUUCAUAUCGACGGCGGUGUUUGGCACCUCGAUGUCGGCUCAUCACAUCCUGGGGCUGUAGCCGGUCCCAAGGGUAUGGCUGUUCGCCAUUUAAAGUGGUACGCGAGCUGGGUUCAGAACGUCGUGAGACAGUUCGGUCCCUAUCUGUCGUGGGCGUUGGAGAUUUGAGGGGGGCUGCUCCUAGUACGAGAGGACCGGAGUGGACGUUCCGCUGGUGUUCGGGUUGUCAUGCCCAUGGCAUUGCCCGGUAGCUACGAACGGAAGUGAUAACCGCUGAAAGCAUCUAAGCGGGAAGCACGCCCCAAGAUGAGAUCUCCCGAGAGCUUGACUCUCCUAAAGGCACCAUCAAGACUAGGUGGUUGAUAGGCACGGUGUGGAAGUGCAGCAAUGCAUUGAGCUUACGUGUACUAAAGAGCCGUGAGGCUUGACCG